AUGCAUCUGGUUAAACGAAAAAAAAACCUGUUUAGAGUCGAAGUUAACUAAUUGGGCCACAAAGCCCACCGCGCCUCUAUCGUCGACAAAGAGGAACGCCUGUGCUCACGGUGGUAUGGAAGUGGAAGCACAAAGCAGGAAACAGAAGAUGCGGCGGUGAUCAGAAAGUGACAGCCCAAUGGCAUUGCUGUUGUUUUCUUCUCUUAACUUCUGCAGCUUAUUCCCUUUCCGUCCAACAUCUAAAGCUUGGAUCUUUUCGCAAGUGGUUUGUGCAGCACCUACAAACCGUUUUUUUUUUUUUAUUCUUCUAACUUACAAGUUUCCAUGUCAUGCUGCUGAGACAAAGUAAGGGAGAUUUUGAGCAGCAAUAAAGUCAUAAACAUGCUUCUGAAUUCCGAUAGGUGCUAAGUGGAAGUCUAUUCAUCACCAUUUAGUCCCUCCAAGUGGGCCUACAAUCAUCAUAGGUUUCAUUUCUCUUGGGUCAAGGUGCUCCAGUACUAUCUUAGCUGAUCAAGAAUGGUGAUGGGAGCAAUGAUGCACCAUAGAUUUCUUCUUCAUUUCUGCCCUAUUCUCAAUCAAUGUCUUUCAGGACGUUCAGUUUCUUCAUUGCAAAAUCUUGAGCAGGCUGUUAGAGCGGAACUAGAAGUUAAAAACUAGGUUAAAAUUCCAGAGCUUCUCAUUUCCUCGGAAUCCUGCCAAAAUUCAAAUCCUUUUUCUUUUUUAUUCUUCAAUUCCUCAGAACUUACGAGUGCAAAUUGUUGAUGAAAUGUUGCAAUCUUUUAUACCUAUCAGACCACGCUCCAAGCCCCAGCUAGCUUAUUCCUAUCUUCUUUCUUACACCCUUCAAAGCUCCCAUCCCUUCCCCCUUGCACUAGCUGUCCUCCAAUGGACUUCACGUUCUGGUUGCCUUCCAGUUCCUCAGAGCCAUGUUCUCCUCUCAUCUGCAUGGUUGGACCAGCAUUGUCUGUCUCAUUCUGUAGCUAAUAUUUUACUUCAGAUGCAAUCAAUUGGAUAUCAUCCUGACUGUGGGACUUGUAAUUAUCUGCUAUCAUCUCUAUGUGCUGUUGAUCAACUAGAGUAGGCAGUUAAAGUCCUGAGAGGUAUGGGUGGGGCAGGAUGUGUUCCAGAUUCGAGUAGUUAUGGCACUGUAAUUGGUGCAAUGAGCAGAGUGAGAAAGACUGCUAAAGCACUGGAUUUGAUGAAGCAAAUGGUGGUCCAAUAUGGUUUAACCCCAGACAGGGAACACUGGUGAAAUUGUUGGCAGCAUUACGGGCAAACAGGGAAAUAUGGAAGGCUGUUGAGAUGAUUGAAUUCCUGGAGAAAGAGGGUAACUCUGUUGGAUUUGAGAGUUACGAGUUAGUGAUUGAAGGGUGCUUUGAGAAACGUGAGUACGUUUUGGCUGCAAAGGCUGCAACAGGGAUGACAGAAAAAGGUUUUAUUUAUACCAUAUAUCAGGGUCAGGCAGAAAAUUAUUGAAGGCUUGGCCAAUAUCGAUGAGUGGAAGUUAGCUUGUGCUGUGGGACAAAGAUUUGCAGCACUUAAAUCUUAGUUGUUAAAUUAUUUAUAGUGGGCCAAUUACAAUGCUUAAUGCCGAUCAAGUGACUACAUAUUGCUAAGACCUGUGAAUUUUGCAUUAUGGUGUCUGUGUUCUUUUCUCAAUGACAUUACUGGAAGAUUAUCUCAUUCUUUGAGGCAGAGUAAUGAAGCACAAGGAUCUCAGAUUUGCAAAACAUUUGGGUGUAUAAUUUAUAACGUCAAAGCAUGGAAAAGGGUGAGCAUAUUUGAUGGAACUUGGUUUCAUUUGAAUUGUGGAAUUAAUGUUCCCACUUAGUCUAACUUUAAAUUUGUUAGUUAUUUUGUACCCCAUUCAACAGAAUUUGGCAAUAAAACAGUAUUUUUGUGACUGGAAGUAACUAAAUGUAUAUUAAUUACUCAAAAAAUGCAAGUAUAUUAAAUGCACCUGGCUAUAAAUUCCUGGGUGAAAUCA